CAUUAAUAUUAUAAUACAGUUUUAUGAAAGACAUGUCAUUUUGAACAAGAGGCUCUCAAGAGCCUGAAUCGCUCACCUGGUAAACAAUGCCUUAUUGAACAUAUUGAACCAUGCCAGGCAGACAUGUACAGCUAACAAUUCUUCAAUAUUACAAAUAUCAGGGGCAUUAUACCUGAAAAACCAGUUACCAAAUUCGGCUGAAAAUUUCAGGACAGGUAGACCUUGACCUAAUAAAUACUUUAACUUCUUGUCUUAUUUGCUCUAAAUGCUGGAGUUUUUGAGAUAUAAGCCAAAAACUGCAUUUUACCCCGUGUUCUAUUUUUAGCCAUGACAACCAUGUUUUUAGACGAAAUAGAAAAUAAAACACAAACUUUAUUUUAUACACCCUACUGAUCGUUCAGUUGAAGUUUGGUUGAAUUUGGUUGAGUACUUUUAGAGGAGAAGAUUUUUUAAAGUUAGCAAAUAUGAUGAACAAAUUGUGAAAAAUUGUCAUUAAAGGACAAUAACCCCUUAAGGGGUCAAUUGACAAUUUUGGUCAUAUUAACUUAUUUGAAGAUCUUACUUUGCUGAUCAUUUUUGCUGUUAACAGUUUAUCUUUAUCUAUAAUAAUAUUCAAGAUAAAAAUUUCCUUAAAAUUACCAAUUAAGUGGCAGCAACCCAACAACUGUUUGUUUGAUUCAUCUGAAAAUUUCAGGGCUGAUAGAUCUUGACCUAAUAAACAUUUGUAUCCCCUGUCAGAUUUGCUCCAAAUGCUUUUGUUUUUGAGAUAUAAGCCAAAAACUGCAUUUGACCCCUAUGUUCUAUUUUAAGUAACGGCGGCCAUGUUUUUUGACGGAUCAAAAAUCGAAGCACACACUUUGUGUAGUAUAAUCUAAGGAACAAUCAUGCUAAGUUUCAUUCAAAUCCAUUCAGUAGUUUCAGAGGAGAAGAUGUUUGAAAAAUUGUUAACGACGACAGACGACGACGACGGACGCCAAGUGAUGAGAAAAGCUCACAUGGCCUUUUAGGCCAGGCGAGCUAAUAAAAACAAUAAAACUGUAAUUAUCUAGAACAUCUAUACGCAUAUAAACAAUAAAGAUAUGAAAGUUACAAAACAACUUGACUUAAUACAUGUAAUUUGAAUCGUUUAUAUACAAGCUACUAAAUGAAAAUAUUAUGUGGUACUAAAUGGAGCAACUGGUUGCCAGACAUUUGUUAUUU
rnacentral:lncRNA from 1 species